CUACGGGACGCAGCAGUAAGGAAUGUUGCGCAAUGGAGGCAACUCUGACGCAGCCAUGCCGCGUGCAGGAAGAAGGCCUUAUGGGUCGUAAACUGCUUUUAUUUAGGAAUAAACCCCCGAACGUGUUCGGGGCUGAAGGUACUAAACGAAUAAGCACCGGCUAACUCCGUGCCAGCAGCCGCGGUGAAUACGGAGGGUGCAAGCGUUAUCCGGAUUUAUUGGGUUUAAAGGGUGCGCAGGCGGGCUAUUAAGUCAGUGGUGAAAUCCCGGGGCUCAACUCCGGAACUGCCAUUGAUACUGAUAGUCUUGAGUUUGGUUGAGGUGGGCGGAAUGUAGCAUGUAGCGGUGAAAUGCGUAGAUAUGCUACAGAACACCAAUCGCGAAGGCAGCUCACUAAGCCAAAACUGACGCUCAUGCACGAAAGCGUGGGGAUCAAACAGGAUUAGAUACCCGGGUAGUC
rnacentral:rRNA from 1 species